rnacentral:rRNA from 1 species
GACGAACGCUGGCGGCGUGCUUAACACAUGCAAGUCGAACGGAAAGGCCCUGCUUGCAGGGUCCUCGAGUGGCGAACGGGUGAGUAACACGUGGGUGAUCUGCCCUGCACUUCGGGAUAAGCCUGGGAAACUGGGUCUAAUACCGGAUAGGAGCCAUUUUUAGUGUGAUGGUUGGAAAGUUUUUUCGGUGUAGGAUGAGCUCGCGGCCUAUCAGCUUGUUGGUGGGGUAAUGGCCUACCAAGGCGGCGACGGGUAGCCGGCCUGAGAGGGUGGACGGCCACAUUGGGACUGAGAUACGGCCCAGACUCCUACGGGAGGAAGCAGUGGGGAAGAUUGCACAAUGGGCGCAAGCCUGAUGCAGCGACGCCGCGUGGGGGAUGACGGCCUUCGGGUUGUAAACUCCUUUCGCUAGGGACGAAGCUUUUUGUGACGGUACCUAGAUAAGAAGCACCGGCUAACUACGUG